rnacentral:tRNA from 1 species
GGGGUUGUGGCUCAGUGAUAGAGCACUUGCCUCACACGUGUGAAGCACUGGGUCCAAUUCUCAGCACCUCA